GUAGGUGGCAAGCGUUGUCCGGAAUUAUUGGGCGUAAGGCGCGCGCAGGCGGUCCUUUAAGUCUGAUGUGAAAGCCCACGGCUCAACCGUGGAGGGUCAUUGGAAACUGGGGGACUUGAGUACAGAAGAGGAAAGCGGAAUUCCAAGUGUAGCGGUGAAAUGCGUAGAGAUUUGGAGGAACACCAGUGGCGAAGGCGGCUUUCUGGUCUGUAACUGACGCUGAGGCGCGAAAGCGUGGGGAGCAAACAGGGAUUAGAUACCCUGGUAGUCCACGCCGUAAACGAUGAGUGCUAAGUGUUAGGGGGUUUCCCGCCCCCUUAGUGCUGCAGCUAACGCAUUAAGCACUCCGCCUGGGGAGUACGCCCGCAAGGCUG
rnacentral:rRNA from 1 species